AAUUGUCUCUACACCUAGCGACCUAAUUUCUCUAUGGUCUAGGAGUCAUUGGUCGAAAGCUCGCUAAGGGGUAGCACUAUUAACCUAAUGGAAUGAGACAUUGCACAGUCUUGGUUAAAAAAAACAAAAAAAAAUGAUAAAAUGAAAAAAGAGCAAAAGGCCCCCGUAACGAUAAAUAAAGCAUAAGUAUCCUAGAUUGGACUCUUGAAUUUGGUGGAUGUUUGAC
rnacentral:lncRNA from 1 species